rnacentral:rRNA from 1 species
GACAGAGGGUGCAAACGUUGCUCGGAAUCACUGGGCGUAAAGGGCGUGUAGGCGGGAAGGGAAGUCAGAUGUGAAAUCCCUCGGCUCAACCGAGGAACUGCAUCCGAAACUGCGAGGCUCGAGUCCUGGAGAGGGUAGUGGAAUUCCCGGUGUAGCGGUGAAAUGCGUAGAUACUGGGAGGAACACCGGUGGCGAAGGCGGCUACCUGGACAGGUACUGACGCUGAGACGCGAAAGCGUGGGGAGCGAACAGG